ACGCAGCGAAAUGCGAUAAGUAAUGUGAAUUGCAGAAUUCAGUGAAUCAUCGAGUCUUUGAACGCACCUUGCGCCCUCUGGUAUUCCGGAGGGCAUGCCUGUUUGAGUGUCAUGAAACUCUCAACCCCUCGGGUUUUACGACCUGUUGGGUUGGAUUUGGGCGUUGCCGCUUUGUUGCCGGCUCGCCUCAAAAGUCUUAGUGGGAAUAAUCGGACCCAUAGCUUGGCGUAAUAAGUUUCGCUGGGCUCGUGGCCGACGACCGUCCGCUGACAACGACCAAUACUCUUUCGAUCUGACCUCAAAUCAGGUAG
rnacentral:rRNA from 1 species